rnacentral:rRNA from 1 species
GAUGAACGCUGGCGGCGUGCCUAAUACAUGCAAGUCGAGCGAAUGGAUUAAGAGCUUGCUCUUAUGAAGUCAGCGGCGGACGGGUGAGUAACACGUGGGUAACCUGCCCAUAAGACUGGGAUAACUCCGGGAAACCGGGGCUAAUACCGGAUAACAUUUUGAACCGCAUGGUUCGAAAUUGAAAGGCGGCUUCGGCUGUCACUUAUGGAUGGACCCGCGUCGCAUUAGCUAGUUGGUGAGGUAACGGCUCACCAGGGCAACGAUGCGUAGCCGACCUGAGAGGGUGAUCGGCCCCACUGGGAAUGAGACCCGGCCCAGACUCCUACGGGAGGCAGAAGUAGGGAAUCUUCCGCAAUGGACGAAAGUCUGACGGAGCAACGCCGCGUGAGUGAUGAAGGCUUUGGGGUCGUAAAACUCUGUUGUUAGGGAAGAACAAGUGCUAGUUGAAUAAGCUGGCACCUUGACGGUACCUACCCAGAAAGCCACGGCUAACUACGUGCCAGCCGCCGCCGUAA